rnacentral:rRNA from 1 species
GAUGAACGCUGACAGAAUGCUUAACACAUGCAAGUCUACUUGAACUUCGGUUUGGGUGGCGGACGGGUGAGUAACGCGUAAAGAACUUGCCUCACAGUUAGGGACAACAUUUGGAAACGAAUGCUAAUACCUGAUAUUAUGAUUUUAGGGCAUCCUAAAAUUAUGAAAGCUAUAUGCGCUGUGAGAGAGCUUUGCGUCCCAUUAGCUAGUUGGAGAGGUAACGGCUCACCAAGGCGAUGAUGGGUAGCCGGCCUGAGAGGGUGAACGGCCACAAGGGGACUGAGACACGGCCCUUACUCCUACGGGAGGCAGCAGUGGGGAAUAUUGGACAAUGGACCAAAAGUCUGAUCCAGCAAUUCUGUGCGCACGAUGACGUUUUUCGGAAUGUAAAGUGCUUUCAGUUGGGAAGAAAAAAAUGACGGUACCAACAGAAGAAGUGACGGCUAAAUACGUG